CCUUUCAAGUUUUUCUUGCGUAUUUUACGCCCCUUUCCAAUCGGAGAUUGCUAAGGGGGUGGGGCCAGUUCCAACCACGGGCUGACCCACACCCGUGGAGGGGGGCCGGAUGGUGGAGGACGGGGAUCACCGGGCCCAGCACUCCGAAAACACUUGUCAGGAUUUACCAGACCCGGGUCCGUCUGCGUGGCACGCCGACAGCGUUACCACUCGGCCAUCCGACCGCUCAAGAAUAAAAUUUACAACUCUCCGCCAUUUUAUAACUGUUAGAAUCGAUUGGGAUGCGCAAAACAUCAUUGCGCGUCUGAUCGUCAUCUAUAUUGGGCGUAUUCGGCAAUUCAGAUCAUCACGUUAGAAUUGUUGAGGUAGUUACGUGACUUAAUAAUUCUGGG
rnacentral:lncRNA from 1 species